CUUUCUUUCUCUUUCGCUCUAGUCCAUAAAUCUAAACAUGUUUACUUGGAAGUAAAUACAGUUACUAUAGAUAUAGAUGUUUGCGAUCUGCAGAGGGAAAGAGGAAGGCUUUUCGGCGCGCACACUACGUUGGUCUGGAAGUCGGCUAAGGCGUUGAGAAUCGCGAAGUCUCAGAGCCUCUCCGACAAAAACCGAGCAGAGCGCUUGUCCUCCUAAUAAAGGUGGACACACAGGCCUAAAAUGGCUUGCACUUUGCAGGCAUGCCUCCUGAGUUCUGUACCGCAAACUCUGGACUUUCUGUGUCUGAAAGUACCCAAGAAAGCUGCCAAGCUCCAGCCAAUUAUUGGCUUAAACUCUGACUGGCAGUGGCUCUCCAGAAUUUCAGACAGGGGUAUUUCCCUGUCCUGCUCUCUGAAAUCUUUUUCACUGGAAAUGUUGGAGCUUGAACCUCAGAUCUUCUGCAUGCUGAUUGUAUGUUCUCUCUAUUGACUAUGGGCCCCUUUGCAAAUUAA